CCUACGGGAGGCAGCAGUGAGGAAUAUUGGUCAAUGGACGAGAGUCUGAACCAGCCAAGUAGCGUGAAGGAUGACUGCCCUAUGGGUUGUAAACUUCUUUUAUAUGGGAAUAAAAUGUUCCACGUGUGGGAUUUUGUAUGUACCAUAUGAAUAAGUAUCGGCUAACUCCGUGCCAGCAGCCGCGGUAAUACGGAGGAUCCGAGCGUUAUCCGGAUUUAUUGGGUUUAAAGGGAGCGUAGGUGGAUUGUUAAGUCAGUUGUGAAAGUUUGCGGCUCAACCGUAACAUUGCAGUUGAAACUGGCAGUCUUGAGUACAGUAGAGGUGGGCGGAAUUCGUGGUGUAGCGGUGAAAUGCUUAGAUAUCACGAAGAACUCCGAUUGCGAAGGCAGUUCACUGGACUGCAACUGACACUGAGGCUCGAAAGUGUGGGUAUCAAACAGGAUUAGAUACCCCUGUAGUC
rnacentral:rRNA from 1 species